rnacentral:tRNA from 1 species
GCCUGGGUGGCUCAGUCGGUUGAGUGUCCGACUUCAGCUCAGGUCUUGAUCUACCAUUUGUGAGUUUGAGCCCCACUUCAGGCU